GAAAUGUACAAAUGCUGAGAAAUUAAGCAAACCUGUUUUUCUGAUAUGUUUAUGCAAAUUCUUUGUCAGGGCUCCAUGCUUAUAAUCCGGAACUUCAUACUCGCAAACAGACACUAUAUUUUUUCCGAAGUUUUGUGUCGCGUGUCACAUGUCGCGUGGCGACAAAACGCCAAAUGUAAUACUGUCCAGCUGACACUGGCUCACAGUCUUCUCGUUUUUAUAUUUAUGUGAACGUAGAUUGCAAGGAAACAAGCGAGUGAGCAAGCCGGGGUGAUGUCGGAAAGUUUGCUGUACAGGGGAGAAAAAGGGAGAACCAAGGGAGGACAUCACGCAGGGAUGAAGAAAGAAGCGGAAGACGUCUCUCGGAGCGAUCGCAAGGAGCGAAGUGAAUUCGAAAUUUUUCCUCUCCGCUAUCUGAAGACUGGAUCAAAGAAGAAAACUGUUACGUGCUUUGCGGAAAGGAAUCGGCCACAACAAUUACGUAUGCAGCUGACGAAGGUCGUCGUGGCGUAAAAUUCGACGUGGUGACACAGGUAUCAGGUGCAGCGGGGCAGUGAAAAGGAUAUAAAGCCUUUCAAACCGGUGUCGGAUUGUUCGGAUGUGGUAAGUCCGUUAUGGAGGUUUGCUCCUUUUCACGAUUCCCCGGGGAAAAUCGUUUCUGCGCCAGCCAUUGUACUGGGGGUAAGCCGAUUCCUCGUUGUUGAAUGGAAACGAUUUCAUGUGUCCCGGCGUGUCCGUGAGGGUAUCGCAAUGGCUGUAGAAAUUCGACGGAUGACUGAAUCACACCUUCAUUAUGCCGCACCAUCCAGUGACGAGCAGGAAAAAUACAGGGUUUGCAUUUUUCUCGUCGCAGUAAUAGCAGCAGGGAUGGAAUUCCGGAGUGCGAAGCGGAUUUUAAAUUUACGAUUCGCCUGUCUGACUCAUUCCAAUGUAAUCCACGGACUCGCUUGCGCGCGCGCGGUCAACAGGAAGAGAUUCAAUCAUUGUGCAUUGCACAUUGAUAUGCGAGUUUCGCGACUUUAAAUGUAUCCGGUUUCCAACGCACAUUUCCACCAUAUAGGCGAACGUGUAAAAAUAUUAUUCCUAGUUAAAACUGCAUAAUAUCCCUCACGGCGCGUUGAAAUCGAAUCGGAAAUGUCGUUUUAUUAACGUGCAAUUAGAAUUGCGAUCAUCGGAUGCGGCGGAGCUGCGCCCCGUCCGGUGAAUUAAUAAUAUCCCGGUAUUUAAAGGGCUUCGACGAGCGAACGCUUGUAAUAGAGACCAAAGUCGAAAAAAUGUAAUUACGCUCAGCAUUUGCAUCAUUUGUCGUUUAAACGCAUCAUAUCAUAUUACGCAACGCAUUCCUGUUAGCGAAAUUUUCGUACGAUUUGUAAUGAAAUCAUGUGACUUAUAAGUCAAUAUCUGUAAUGACAAAAUAAAUCUAUGACAAUGAGCA